UCCCAUACAAGUGCAAGAUAUUUAAGCAAACUCACCUUAUUGCUGAACUUGCAAUCCAACACCAUCACUUCCAAACGUCCUGCUCAAACAACAGUGUAUCCGGAAUAGUAAUAAAAAACAUAUUAACUCUUAAAUGUUCAGAGAAUACACGUAGGAUUCAUCUUUACUAAUACAAAAAAUGUAUUGGAACUGAGUCAAGUUAUAGUUAUACACCCUUAUUUUGUAUUAUUUAACCUUCUGUAAAAUAUAACAAGGUUCGACAAUGUAAAAAGAAUUUUGAACUUUUUAAUUGUUUAUAGAAAUCCAUCGGCUUGAAGAAAAUUUCAGUUAACUGAAAAAACAUAACACAUAAAAAAUUAAUACCUUUAACUCCAUAGAUUUACAUAAUCUAUUAUAUUGAGUUAGAGAGUUGAAGGACAUUACCCAUACAAGUUCUGCAAUUGAUUGAUUCCUCUCCUAGGAAAUCCGAGGUUUUUCUACAAACAGGUUCCAUAUGAACAGUGAUCCGAGCUGACUCAUCAUAUUCCAAUCAAUGAUAAAAUCUCCUAAUACAGUUGCAAAAUCAGAGUGAGGGAAUAAACAUAAUGGUAAAUAAAGAAUCUUGCUUGAGAUUGAUGUCGUUAAAAUGCUUCAACAAACAUAGAUGUGCCGACGGAGAAGAUGGAAAGAUAGAUUCUUGACUUUUUUUUCUUUUU
rnacentral:lncRNA from 1 species